CCUACGGGAGGCAGCAGUGAGGAAUAUUGGUCAAUGGUCGGGAGACUGAACCAGCCAAGUAGCGUGAGGGACGGCGGCCCUAUGGGUUGUAAACCUCUUUUGUUUGGGAAUAAAGUGCGGGACGCGUCCCGCUUUGUAUGUACCAUGCGAAUAAGCAUCGGCUAAUUCCGUGCCAGCAGCCGCGGUAAU
rnacentral:rRNA from 1 species